rfam:Mustela putorius furo unplaced genomic scaffold scaffold00070, whole genome shotgun sequence.
GCCUGGGUGGCUCAGUUGGUUGAGCAGCUGCCUUUGGCGCAGGUCAUGAUCCCAGCGUCCUGGGAUCGAGUCCCACAUCGGGCU